UACAGUUUACUAACUGCCUUCAGAACGUUGAGUCAAACAGGCAACACUUUCAACGAUGAUUUAUGUAGAAUCUCCAGUAGAAUGAUGGCAAGAAGAAGGUAUAGUCCUCCAUGUCCGACUAUUCCAGGAUGUGAGAGUUUAAUUAAAUCGAUGUUUGUAUUUAGUGGGAUUACUGCACAAUGUGGUAUGGUGGAACAUUGAAUGUCCAGUUUGGUAACUUGGUGGAAAUUUCGUGCUGAGAGAGAAACCUGACCAACGUGGUCGCUGCCUUCCAAGUUUCAUGUUCAAGCCUUGGACGCAUAUUCGGCGGUUUGAUAAGGAGACGGAGUAGACACAGUCCGAGAGGCGGCACGUUUGGUGAUUUCGGUUCACAAACCGUGUGGAUGUAUGAGACUUCUUUAUUGAAACGUGUCGUUCAAGAUAAAACGAUGCGUUUUCCUACGGGAUGAAUUUGAUAUUCAUGGAGGGAAACGCAUCCAGUCCUACUUUUCCAAGAGUCUUUUUGAAGGCAGGACUGAGGCAACACACACCAGGACAGAUGGAGACUACAGCAAAUAACAGCAGUGCUUUGUGCGUUCAACCCAGGGUCACGUGGUCUAUUUAUGAAGACUGAAAAGACUGAGGAUACAAAACAACAAGAUCAUGGCACAGGGGAAGAUAUAAGUAGGGCAGCAUAGGAGCAUGGCUGACUGUCUGGACUAUUUCAGGGCAGCUCAGUUAAGACAAGAAUCGGCUUCCUAGCCGUCGCUUCUUAACCAGGGGCCAAGCCCCCCUCCGGCACAUUCCUCCUUCACCACCUUCUCUCUCCCCUCCUCUCUGAGAUCAAUGCUCCAUGAUUUAUAUAAUGGGAUGCGUCAAAUCCAAGAAGAGCGAUCCGAUCCAGUACGCCAACUCGGUGAAGGCGGACGGCAAUCCUGGGAAGUGGCAGGGCGAGAACGCGCUGCUGGUCCACUAUGAGACGGGGUCCGUGGACGACUCUGCCCGGGUGGACCCCAUUCUGCUGGAGUAUGCCCAGCGGCUGUCCGAGGAGAUAGUGGCCCGGGCCGUGCAGCAGUGGUUGGAGGUGGACAGCCGCUACAUUGACAUCCCCUACAUUGAGUGUGAUGUGCCAUGAGGGGGAUGGGGGGAGGGCAUUGCCAGAGAGUGUUAUUUCUGUUAUGGGAUUCACCUUGAACCUCUGGGGAAAAGAAGACUACUGGAUGCCCAACAAACAGACAGACAGACAGACAGACAUCACUCUCCUUCAGGUUGAAACAAUACACUACGAAGAUCUACUAGCUGAUGCAAGAUGUUGAUGCCAUUCUAUGGUCCAAAGCCAUUUUUCUGUUUAAUUCAUACUUGGACAAAGACCUUGAUUAAUCCUCUCAUUUUCAAUCCAGACCAUGUGCUUGUCUCCAUCGUUAGCUAGAUGAUAAGAGUUCCGAGCUGGGGUGUGUGAUAUCUUUGUCUUGGGAGCCGAUAAAGCAGAAGAGUAUCAUUGAAUCCUGCUUUGAAAAUGACCGGUUCUGCCCUUCAGUGAAUAUCUAUCGUUUCCGCUUGACGCGUGCCAUCCUUGCGGCCAAAUAGCAGUUCCGAUGUAGGAAGUUAUUUAUUAGCACCUCAAAUGGCCAAUGUUUUUCACUUGAGAUUUUUUGCUAGAGUCAGCAGGUACAUGCCUCCCUCUCCAUCUGUCUGCCCAGACAGAAGUUCCCAGUUCAGGGUUCUUGGAUAAUGGCAUCCCAGGGGGCCUGUGGUCGACCAACAAAGGAGAGCUCAUUAUUCAUCCUGCCCAACUACCCAUUAAGCAUGUACGACGACGAGCUGCAGCAACCAAGGACCUGACAACGGUCACUUUGACGAAAUGAUGCUCUACGAACAUGGCCGUGGGAAGAUGUUUUGGGUUGGGGGUGCUGAUGAGUAUUUUUGUCCACUCAUAUAGGAGUAAUAAAGGCCAAGUUCACUAAGGAUGUUUUUUUCGAUUUAUCAGGGGGUGCUGCAGCACCCUCAGCAUCCCUACUUCCUGCGGCUAUGUUUAGGAAUGUUUUACAGAGGUUCAGCACCCUCCCAUUCUAUGAAUUUGAAUGCCAUUGACAAUAGGACAUCCCUGAGGGCUGGCUAAGUCCCCCAUGCCUCGAGGAAAUCAGGACACGAGGAUGGAUUGACACACUUUUACUGAGACUUGGCUUUUGUACACAAAACGAGUUCUGGGUUCACAAAUACAUUUUGCUUUCGCCAAAAUGUCUUGGGCCAAGCACCCUGGUAAUGAGGAACUGCUGCCAUCCGCCCCAUAGAAUUUACAGCACAAAUAUGCAACUCUCCAAGGCCAUGGUAUUUUUAUUGAGAGCAAAUGGCUUCUUAAAAUAGUACGAUGCUAUUUUAACAGGCCAUAGGCACACAUAAGCACAAUGGAGAGUUGAGUUGUUUGGAAAAGGAGAACAACUGUCAAAGUCCUUAAUGAAUGGUAGUACAAGCACAAUACGCUUGAUGGGUUUUCGUAUGGCGUUUAUAAGAGAGGUCAUAUCAGUGGGUUUUAGUCAGUCAUGGCAGGUCAGUUCCUACCAUACCACAACUGAUGUUCAAGAAGCUUUAAAUGGCGGAUGAGUCAAGGCUGGGCAACAUGGAACAUUUCACAGAGCAUUAAAUCAGAGUGCCAUUGUAUACACACCACAAAGAACAAGUAGACAUUAUUUCACCGGCUAAGGAAGUUUGACCUGUGCAUCUCAAGUAAGAUUCGGCUGCUAAGUCAUUAGGUAUGCUCAGUAAAGGAAAUGGUAGUGGUGUGCCUCAAAUGCUACACCCAAAAAUCCAUUACAGUUAAAAGCAACAAAUAUAUAACAGCAUUUUCACUAAUCUGGGUUGAAAGAUGAAUCUCUUGAACCCAUUCAAUUAUGUAAACCAAUUGAAAAGCUUAGCGGUGACAACUUCCCCCCCCCAUACUGUAUUCCUAAAUCUAAGAACUGGACAGAUCACAGAUCACUGUUGUUACUGCCUCAGCUAAUGUUUUAAACAAUUUUACAGAUCAAGCUGCAAAAAACACAAUGAAAUCAAACAAAAAAAAAAUCCAUCAAGCUUGAUUUUCACUCGGAUGAAUUGGUUGAUACAAGUCGUUUUACUAUGCAGGAGACGGCUAGCACUGCAUGCCAUAUAUCAAGCCCCUAUCAUUAUCUCUGCCUUUUAUUUUUUGCAUCUUUAUUUAACUAGGCAAGUCAGUUAAGAACAAAUUCUUAUUUUCAAUGACGGCCUAGGAACAGUGGGUUAACUGCCUGUUCAGGGGCAGAACGACAGAAUUGUACCUUGUCAGCUCAGGGAUUUGAACUUGCAACCUUUCGGUUACUAGUCCAACGCUCUAAGCACUAGGCUACCCUGCCGCCCCAAGCUACCCUGCCUUUGAAGCCAUGUCGAACACAGAAUUCAAAUGCUUUGUAUAAUGAUGGUCAAUGUCGCAGUUCACAAUGCUUACAGCUUGACAUAAACAGGUAUACCAGGUAUACCAAAGUAUGUACAAACGAGGUAUACCUGGAUUCCUUCCUUCUAAAUAUUUCAAUGUCGGGAACAGUUACAUCUUGUAACAUCAGUCUUCCAGUCAAGCCUUCAGUUUGAUUAUGGGCAAAAAAAAAAAAGUAUGUUGGGAGAUCCUAAUGCUUCUUUUCCCCCCAGCGUCUAAGGACUCAUCUAUAUUUAUAUCAUAUACCAUUUAACCUGCAGCACUGUACAGGUCUGUAAAUAAAUCAAUGACAAAAAAAUGUGACGACAAUAAAGCUGAAAUCUAUGCCUUCUACCAUUA